rnacentral:misc_RNA from 1 species
GAUGAAGAACGCAGCGAAAUGCGAUACUUGGUGUGAAUUGCAGAAUCCCGUGAACCAUCGAGUCUUUGAACGCAAGUUGCGCCCGAAGCCAUUAGGCCGAGGGCACGCCUGCUUGAGCGUCACACGUCGUUGCCCCCCCAUCUACUCCUUCGGGAUUGCGGGGGGCGGAUGAUGGCUUCCCGUGCGCCUCGUCGCGCGGUUGGCAUAAAUGCCAAGUCCUCGGCGACGCACGCCACGACAAUCGGUGGUUGCGAAACCUCGGUUGCCCGUCGUGUGCGGUCGUCGCGCAUCGAGGGCUCGAAAAAAUUGCCGGGCUCCGGCUCGGCUUUCAACGCGACCCCAGGUCAGGCGGGGUUACCCGCUGAAUUUAAGCAUAUCAAUAAGCGGAGGA